UGGGAUAAAGGCUUAGUUGAGUUUUAUAUUGAUUCUGUCAACUAUUAAGUCCUUCAGUCCAAUUUUUGGCAUAUUCUUCUAGUCAGCUCCUCAAAAACCCGACAUGAAAACUUAUGGAAGACUGGCACCAAUAUGGAUCUAUGCAAAAACAACUACAAUGAAAGAUAAUAGCAAGACCAUAGCAAUGAGUUUCACUUACCACAUUAAGAGCAAACA
rnacentral:misc_RNA from 1 species